AUAAGCAUCCACAUGGCAAAACUGUGAAUAGCUCAUUAAAACAGUUGUGGCUGUGUUGGUGGCUUCUUACAUGGAUAAUUGUCGUAAUUCGAACACUAAUACAUGUGUGAAUGCUCAACUAUGGGGAAAGGUUGUGUGUGUUAGUUACAGAACCAACCUAGGCUAUGCCUGGGCUGUGGUGAUUCACAAUAACAGAAUGAACCGUGUGACGUCGGUUGAUGGUGACACAUUCAAGUUUCUGACCUAUCAGCUUCCGAUGGUAGGGUAUAGGCCUACCCUGGCAAUGACGGGUAACGGAGAAUUCGGGUUUGAUUCCAGAGAGGGAGCCUGAGGAAUGGCUACCACAUCUAAGGAAGGCAGCAGGCGCGCAAAUUACCCAAUCCUGACACAGAGAGGCAGUGACAAUAAAUAACAAUAUAGGGCACCUAUGUCUUGUAAUUGGAAUGAACGAAACAUAUAUACCUUUAUGAGUAUUGAUUGGAGGGCAAGUCUGGUGCCAGCAGCCGCGGUAAUUCCAGCUCCAAUAGCAUAUAUUAAAGUUGUUGCGGUUAAAAAGCUCGUAGUUGGAUGUUUGCCAAAGCUGGCUGGUCUGCCCAUUGGGUGAGUAUCUGGCCUGACUGGAGCAUAUUCUCGGAGAGUGUGGCUGCACUUGACUGUGUGGUAUGGUGCCUGGGACCUUUACUUUGAGGAAAUUUGAGUGUUUCAGGCAGGCGCAAGCCUUGAAUACAUUGCUAUAGGAUAAUAAGGUAGGACCUUGGUUGUAUUUUGUUGGCUUUUAGAAUCGAGGUAAUGAUGAAAAGGGAUACUUGGGGGCAUGUGAAUUUAACUGUCAGAGGUGAAAUUCUUGGAUUUGUUAAAAAUGGACUACUGCGAAAGCAUUUUCCCAGAAUGUUUUCAUUGAUCAAGAAUGAAAGUUAGGGGAUCGAAGAUGAUCAGAUACCGUCUUAGUCUUAACCAUAAACUAUGCCACCUAGGGGUUGGAUGUUGUUACUUUCAUGACUCCCUCGGCACCUUAUGGGAAAUCAAAGUGAUUGGGUUCCGGGGGGAAUAUGGUUGCAAGGCUGAAACUUAAAGGAAUUGACGGAAGGGCACCACCAGAAGUGGAGCCUGCGGCUUAAUUUGACUCAACGCGGGGAAGCUUACCAGGUCCAGACAUAGUAAGGAUUGACAGAUUGAUANNNNNNNNNNNNNNNNNNNNNNNNUGGUGCAUGGCUGUUCUUAGUUGGUGGAGUGAUUUGUCUGGUUAAUUCCGUUAACGAACGAGACCUCAACCUGCUAAAUAGUUUAAUGUGGCCAUGGCUCUGUUGGAAAGUUCUUAGAGGAACGUUGUGUGUCUAAUGCAAGGAAGGUUGAGGCAAUAACAGGUCUGUGAUGCCCUUAGAUGUUCUGGGCUGCACGUGUGCUACACUGAUGGGAUCAACAAGGGUGUGACUUUGUCUGGAAGGGUGGGACAAUCCUUUCAAAGUCUAUCGUGAUAGGGAUAGAUUCUUGCAAUUAUUAAUCUUCAACGAGGAAUUCCUAGUAUGUGUGAGUCAUCACCUUAUGCUGAUUAUGUCCCUGCCCUUUGUACACACCGCCCGUCGCUCCUACUGAUUGAGUGAUCCGGUGAACUUUUUGGACUGCAGCACAACCCAGUUCCUGGGCUUUGCAGCACGAAGUCUAGUGAACCUUAUCACUUAGAGGAAGGAGAAGUCGUAACAAGGUUUCCG
rnacentral:rRNA from 1 species